CACGUAGGGGGCGAGCGUUGUCCGGAUUUAUUGGGCGUAAAGAGCUCGUAGGCGGUUUCGUAAGUCGGAUGUGAAAACUCCAGGCUCAACUUGGAGACGCCAUUCGAUACUGCGAUGACUUGAGUCCGGUAGGGGAGUGUGGAAUUCCUGGUGUAGCGGUGAAAUGCGUAGAUAUCGAGAGGAACACCUGCGGCGAAGGCGGGUUGCUGGGCCGACACUGACGCUGAUGCGCGAAAGCCAGGGGAGCGAACGGG
rnacentral:rRNA from 1 species